rnacentral:rRNA from 1 species
GACGAACGCUGGCGGCGUGCUUAACACAUGCAAGUCGAACGGAAAGGCCCUGCUUUUGUGGGGUGCUCGAGUGGCGAAAGGGUGAGUAACACGCGAGUAACCUGCGCUCGACUUUGGGAUAACUUCAGGAAACUGGGGCUCAAAUAGCGUAGGAGCCCCUGCUGCAUGGUGGGGGGUGGAAAGUUUCGGCGGUUGGGGUUAGGCUCGUGUCUGUUCAGCUUGUUGGUGGGGUAGUGGCUUACCCAGGCUUUGACGGGUAGCCGGCCUGGGAGGGUGACCGGCCACAUUGGGACUGAGAUACGGCCCAGACUCCUACGGGAGGCAGCAGUGGGGAAUAUUGCACAAUGGGCGGAAGCCUGUUGCAGCAACGCCGCGUGCGGGAUGACGGCCUUCGGGUUGGAAACCGCUUUCGCCUGUGACGAAGCGUGAGUGACGGUAAUGUGUAAAGAAGCACCGGCUAACUACGUG